GUGAUUGUAUGUUUGUUUGUACAGUUAUGGCUGUAAUGUUAUUAUUUUGUAUUGUCACUAAACACCCACAUUUGUAUUUGUGUGGGAAAUGUUUGUAGGCUAUGGUUGCUGUUUGUAUUUCAUUUAACUUUAGGCCAUUAAAGACAAAUCACACAACAUAGAAUUCCAAAUAACCUUAGGCAAAAAUACACGAAAUUAAAGUCAAGUGAAAAUAGUUAUAAAUGUCUUUAUCAAUUAUGAGUAGCUAAACAUUAUCGACUUUUGGACACUGAUGCGCAGGAGAACCCCAAGCUGUCAAUCAAGCAGGCGCGGUGAACGGAUUAUGACGCUCAAGCGUUCCAAAUGACGCAACAAUACAGCUCCAGAACACAGAAAGUUAAUGCCGAAGAUAUCAUUCGGUUCCACACUAAAACUGAGGUUUGACACGUGUGAUUUGAGGCUAGAGCUUGAGGACUCAACUCUGAAGACUGUUUCUGAAUUCACUGACCUGAAAUAAAACUUGUAGACCUUUCCUGCAGUCUCUGAGGAGAUGGACAGCUCUUCUUCUUCUGGACGAUCUCCGUCUCCUACUGGGACUGUCUUCUUACCUCCUCCUAUCAUA